rnacentral:rRNA from 1 species
UACGUAGGUGGCAAGCGUUGUCCGGAAUCAUUGGGCGUAAAGCGCGUGUAGGCGGCUUUGCAAGUCGGGUGUGAAAGCCCUCAGCUCAACUGAGGAAGUGCGCCCGAAACUGCAGAGCUUGAGUACCGGAGAGGAUGGCGGAAUUCCCCAAGUAGAGGUGAAAUUCGUAGAUAUGGGGAGGAACACCGGUGGCGAAGGCGGCCAUCUGGACGGAUACUGACGCUGAGACGCGAAAGCGUGGGGAGCAAACAGG